rnacentral:rRNA from 1 species
GACGAACGCUGGCGGCGUGCCUAAUACAUGCAAGUUGAGCGCUGAAGAUUGGUACUUGUACCAACUGGAUGAGCAGCGAACGGGUGAGUAACGCGUGGGGAAUCUGCCUUUGAGCGGGGGACAACAUUUGGAAACGAAUGCUAAUACCGCAUAAAAACUUUAAACACAAGUUUUAAGUUUGAAAGAUGCAAUUGCAUCACUCAAAGAUGAUCCCGCGUUGUAUUAGCUAGUUGGUGAGGUAAAGGCUCACCAAGGCGAUGAUACAUAGCCGACCUGAGAGGGUGAUCGGCCACAUUGGGACGGAGACACGGCCCAAACGCCUACGGGAGGCAGCAGUAGGGAAUCUUCGGCAAUGGACGAAAGUCUGACCGAGCAACGCCGCGUGAGUGAAGAAGGUUUUCGGAUCGUAAAACUCUGUUGGUAGAGAAGAACGUUGGUGAGAGUGGAAAGCUCAUUAAGUGACGGUAACUACCCAGAAAGGGACGGCUAACUACGUG